AAGUCAUCUCUAUACCCAAUGUGGGGCUUGAACUCACAACCCCGAGAUCAAGAGUUGCAUGCUCCACCAACUGAGCCAGCCAGGAGCCGCGGCUCCAACUUCUUAAUGCUUGCCGCUGAAGCUGUGAAAUGGAAAACCCAGCAACAGCAUUGUAAUCCCAGCUCUGUGCUGUUGUCCCUAAAGCCGCGAGCAUCCUCUGCAGAAGGCCGGUCUGAAAGCAUGGGAGUGGGACCUGAGGACAGGUGGUGGCUGAGGGACAGCGUAAAGGCCAAAAACCCACUGGCCUCUGGCCCCUCAUUGCUGCAAGCAAGCUACUGUCACCUGGUCAUCUAACUUUGCCAGACGUGGCUGAAGGGGCCCCGAAGAGCAUGGGACCCCAACUCCUGCCCUUUCACGGGACCAGGACCCCUCCCGAGACACACCGAAUCACAAUCUCUAGCGAUCGAGGGGCGCCCGGGUGGCUCAGCAGUUGGAUGUCUGACUCUUGGUUUUGGCCCCGGUCACGGUCUCACGGUUCGUUGCGUUCGAGCCCCACAUCGGGCUCCAGGCUGACAGCAAGGAGCCUGCUUAGGAUUCUCUCUCUCCCUCCCUCUCUGCCCCUCCUCCACUUGUGCAUGCAGGCUCUCUCUCUCUCUCUCUCUCUCUCUCUCUCUC